rnacentral:sRNA from 1 species
UAAGAGGUAAUUACAAUUCAAAGGCCGAA